GAUGAACGCUAGCGGCAGGCUUAAUACAUGCAAGUCGAACGGUAAGUGUUAUAGCAAUAUAGCACGAGAGUGACGUACGGGUGCGUAACACGUAUGCAACCUACCUUGUACAGGAGGAUAGCUCGGGGAAACUCGAAUUAACCCUCCAUAAGAUCAUAGAAUGGCAUCAUUUAGUGAUAAAACUUAGGUGGUACAAGAUGGGCAUGCGUCUGAUAGUUAGUUGGUGGGGUAAUGGCUCACCAAGACGAUGAUCAGUAGGGGACCUGAGAGGGUGAUCCCCCACACU
rnacentral:rRNA from 1 species